GUGUAUGUAGUCGUGUUUGUGAGCAUGUAUGUGUGAGCAUGUGUAUGUAAUUUGUGAGCACGUGUGUGUGUGAGCAGGUGUAUGUAAUCGUGUGAGCAUGUGUAUGGGUAAACGUGUAUGAGCAUGUGUGUGUGUGAGCAUGUUUAUGGGUGAGCAUGUGUGUGUGAGCAGGUGUGUGUGAAUGUGUGAGCGUGUGUGAGCAUGUGUAUGGGUGAGCAUGUGUCUGAGCAUGUGUGAGAGCAUGUGUAUGUGUGAACAAGUGUAUGGGUGAGCAUGUGUGUGAAUGUGAGCGUGUGUGUGAGCAUGUGUAUGGGUGAGCAUGUGUGUGUGUGUGAGCAGGUGUAUGUAAUCGUGUGUGUGAGCAUGUGUGUGUAUGAGCGUGUGUGUGACACCAUGUGUAUGUGUGAGCAGGUGUAUGGGUGAGCAUGUGUGUGUAUGUGUGAGCAUGUGUGUGAGAGCAGGUGUAUGGGUGAGCGUGUGUGAAUGUGUGAGCAUUGUGUGGGUGAGCAUGUGUGUGUAUGUGUGAGCGUGUAUGUGAGCAUUUGUGUAUGUGUGUGAAUGUGUGAGCAUGUGUAUGGGUGAGCAUGUGUGUGUAUGUGUGAGCACAUGUAUGUGAGAGCAUGUGUAUGGGUGAGCAGGUGUAUGGGUGAGCAUGUGUGUGAAUGUGUGAGCAUGUGUGUGUGAGCAUGUGUAUGGGUGAGCAUCCAUGUGUAUGUGAGUCUGUGAGCAUGCGUGUUGGGAGCAUGGAGUGUAGAGAACCCAGGUACCUGACUGAGACCGUGAAGCGCAGGUCAUGCCAAACUCCAAGAUCAACCAUUUAUGACCUGCACGAUCGUUCCGGUGUGUUCCUUUAAUAGGGCAGGGGCACCUUGUCUAAUGACAAUGAAAGAAGAUUUUCAUUUUCUGACAAAUAAUAUUUAUUGUCAGUGAACUCCACACGUCCUUACUUGUCAUUCUUCGUUUUCUUUAAAUCUCAUUUUCCUGCAGGGCCACGCGGCCUGCUCUGGUUUAAAUGAGAGACAGGCAAUCUUCUGCAGGGGGGAUUUUCGGUGUCGGGGGGGAAACUGCAGAACAUAACGCACAGGUGCCCCCUUGCUCUCCAGGUCACCUCUGGGUGCAGGGUGGCUGCUGCUCCCCUGGGCUCUGUGUCCCAGGUCCUGCGAUGCCUGACAAAGGCUGCAGCCAGAUCACUGGGGCACAUGCGAGGAGGAAACAGAAUGGACAGGCCGCAACAUGCCAAGCCACUAAAAGGAUUGACGCUUUAUUCUUCAGAGGAGAAAUACCAUUGUGGGGUCUACGGACCUCUAUCUAAGGCUUGUUAAAACAAAACAGAGAUGCUUAUGCUCUGGAAAGACGCCCGGGAUCCACUGGGCAGAAUGGCAAAGGAAAGAUCCCCAGCACGGAGCUCAGACAGAUGUCCUCGGCGGAGCUGAGUGCGGGGGUACAGGGUGUGGGGGUGCAUCAGUUGUGCUCUGACAGGUGCACAGGGUCCCCUUUCCCUUUGGCACCUCGGCUGCCUGUGCUUCUGGACCAACUGCCUGUUGAGAAAGCCUCUCUGUGUCCAGAAGUGAACUAUGAAAGGCCCUGAGUGGAUGGACUAUAUGCAAGGCACAGGAAGGAGGCCAAGCCCUCAGGAGUGGCAUCCAUGUGCAUUUGGGGCAGAGUGACGACUGGAAAAGACUGACCACGGCCCAGGCUCCCUGCCUUUCAGCUGCCAGUCUGCUGGGAAGUCACUUCCAUGAGGGUGGGGAGAGGUGAUGGCUAUUGACACCCAAGUUACACCUACCAAUGACCCAGUGGCUUCGGGCCUCACAGGCAGUGAGUGGACAUCUAGGCACCUGGAAUGCACCUCUAGGGCUCUGUGCCCGGGCUCUGAACAAGGAGAGAAGCCGCCGGCCCUCCUCCUGACCACUUCACCUCCGGCAGGUAAGGAGGAGGUGUGGGAGGGCUCCUGCAUCCCCUGCUUCCGGGAGCAGCCCACAGGGCAGGGCCGGGUCUCCAGUGCAUGCUGGGCUCUGAGGUUUUGGAGGCGAUGACGUAAGAGGCACUGUGCUGAUUACUUGUCCAAGCCUUCACCUGCGGGGGUGUCACAGCAAGGCCUCCUCUGCAGGGCCUGUGCUGAGGGUCACUCCCAGAGGGAAGAUGGGUCUAUACCGACCCAUCUGUGUGCUGGCCUUCUUGAGAUCAAGAGGCCCCAGGUCUAGGCUAAGGAGAAUGAGGGGCCAUGUACCAGGGCCAUAGUAGGUGGCGGUGCAGAGACCUAACUCCAAACCGUGGGCCUCAGCUACAGCUGAGCUGUCCCAGGCUACAGCCUUCUGACAAGGGCCACCAGAUGGGAGCGGCUCUGGUUUGAGAGUUCACUGCGCGACCCUCCCCACACCUGUGCUUCCGUCUAAGUAGACAUGGUAAUUAACGUUGUUACUCCACAUCGAGUUAUCCAGAAAUAGAUUCCUGCUUUGCUUCUUUCCUGGCUACCAUGCCAAGAGCUACAGCAGAUGGAUGGGAGAAAAGUCAUUAGGAAUGUAUUAGAGCUCUCCUGCGGGGACUUGGCUUCC
rnacentral:lncRNA from 1 species